UGGGUAACCUGCCUCAAAGAGGGGAAUAGCCUCCCGAAAGGGGAGAUUAAUACCGCAUAAUAUGUUUAAGUCGCAUGACUUUAACAUCAAAGGAUUUUCUUUUAGAACUUCCACUUUGAGAUGGACCCGCGGCGCAUUAGCUAGUUGGUGAGGUAACGGCUCACCAAGGCAACGAUGCGUAGCCGACCUGAGAGGGUNAUCGGCCACAUUGGAACUGAGACACGGUCCAGACUCCGUAGGGAG
rnacentral:rRNA from 1 species